AUGGCAUCUAUCCAACAUGGUAGCAUUUGUGAAGACUAUCUCAAACGUUGUGCCAGGAGGCAAGAAGUCCCACUUUGCCAAGGCUCAGGAUCAUGCACAAAGGAUGUCGAGCGAGCAUUUGGUGUGCUCCAAUCUCGAUUUGUUGUUGUCCGGUACCUUGCUCAGACCGGGUCGAAAAAUCAAAUGUGGGAGAUCAUGACUUGUUGUGUCAUCUUGCACAAUAUGAGCAUUGAGGGCGAGCAGGUAGAGCCCGUGUUUGACACUGAACAAUAUUAUAGGCAGGGUCCUCUUUCCCAAGUUGAUCACCAGCUACCAGCAAUCUGGACUGCCUACCUCGGUAUGCGUCAGGAGAUCCGAGACCCACAGGUGCAUCAACAACUACAGCAGGAUCUGGUGGAGCACCUAUGGAGGAUCAAGGGCGACGCCUAG
rnacentral:rRNA from 1 species